GUUUCUUGGCCCUGCAGCCCAGUUGGCUGCAGUUCGGAUUUACUUCCUCCUGCCUCCCGCCAGGUGCUGGGCCUCGUCUUCAUCCCCGGUGGCGGUGGGGAGCUGCCGCCGACGAGCAGGGCGGGCACGACGAGCAGCACGAGCACGAGCGGAGGCAGGAAACAAACUGAUGGCGACGGCUGUUCCCGAUUCUCCUGUGGAUGGCCCCGUGAAAAGCUCCGCAGGGUUGAAGACGGCGGCGGGGCAAGAGGAGGUGGUAGCCAUCGUUGACCCUCGGAAGGCGUUUCUGAUCAAGCUCGCACUUGAUGUUUUCUUUGUGCUGUAUUUGAUGUUUUACAUUGGUAUCUUGGCGGUGCUUGUCAAACUUGCGAACAACUGGUGGGAUCUAUGGCCAGGUGUAUUUGUCGUAUCGCCUCUCUGUAUAGGAAUGCUCUGCCUGACGCCCAAGAUGAAAGUGGUGUAUAUUCAGCUCUAUGCCACGAAGUGGCCUCUAAGAAAUGAUGAUCAUUGCACGGAACUUCC